UGAGGGUAGUGAGGCACUGGAACAGGUUGUCCAGAGAAGCUGUGGAUGCCCCAUCCCUGUAAGACUUCAAGGCGAGGUUGAAUGAGUCUUCGAGCAAUUUGGUCUAGUAAAAGGUGCCUCUGCCCAUGGCAGGGGGGUUAGAACUAGAUGAUCUUCAAGGACCCUUCCAAACGAAAGCAUUGUAUGAUUCUAUGAUGUGAUUAAGCAAAUCUAUCAUAUGCAAGUAGUGGCUUCAAAAAGUAAAUUAAUUACUAUGUCUGUCAGAAGACUUUAUUUUUCUUUACUCAUAACUCACUAUAUUUUUAGAAAUACUUGAGAUGUGUCCAGGCAUCAGAAACUUGCAGCUAUUCACUGCAGCAGGUUGCAACCAAAUGAUCAUUUUAAAGCAGUUCUUUUCCUUAAUAUGCCUCUUUCUUUUUACUAGUUGUAGUUAGUAUUUGUCAAAUUAGGACAAAGGUUUGUCAUUAGUCUUUUUUCUUUAGACAAUGAUACACUUACUCUGUUGAUAAGGGAAAGGGAUUUGAAAAGUGCCUGACAAAGAGAAACGUCACAGAAAGUAAAACAUGUAGUAUAUGGUAAUAUUAUCCUACUGAUUUUAAUCUGAUAGAGGUGUUGGGCUAAUUAAGAAAGAAUUAAACUACACAUGACAGAUACUGGUCACAUUGUUUAAUAUACUGCUGGAGAAUACACAGAACCAUAGGGGCGAUGAAAACAUUACAAGAGCAUACACAGAAAAUACAAUUGCUGCAUGCAAGUAUAGUGGGUUUUGCAAGUAAACAUAGGAUAUUCUUUUGACAAGUGUAAUUUUGUCAUUAAUACAGAUUCUAUAUAGAAAAAUAUUUGUUAAGUGAUUUUAAAUGGUUUGGGGGUGGGGGGGACAGUGAAGAGCAGGGAAUAACCCUUUGGCAGUUAUUUACAUGGGAAAUGUUUGUAUUAUUCUCUUAAUUUAAAAUAAUAGUUUUUCCUCUUCUGCAGUACCUUCAGGUGCCAUUUUAAAAUUAAAAUAAAUUAUAUUUCUCCAAGAUGGAAAAAUUUAUGUUUCUCUGAGAAGUUGGCCUCAUCAAUAAGUUCAUAGAAAACACUGUUUGGCACCUACAUGGAGAAGCAUCCAGAAAAUAUUAUCUGUGUGAAACAGAGGGUUUUCUCCUCAGUAAUUUUCUCUCUUUUUCUUGUAUUGGUUUCGUUUCCAUUAGAUGUCUUGGAGCUCUGAUUCAGAGCAAAAUAGAUUUACUGUUUCCUGAAAGAAGAUUUAUUAGCUUGGAGACGGUAUGGUAAGAUCAGUGAGAUAAUCUGUUUUAAGAGAAGAGGGUUAAGGUGGAUAUACAAGAGAAGGGUAUGAUAAUUUUCAGUUUCAUAUUCUAAAGAGUGCCAUGUUGAUUCCAGAGCAAAAGUGGAAAAAAAUCCACUCUGGGAAUUAGGGGCUGUGCAUCAGCAUGGAUGCUGCUGUGCAUACCAGCUAAUGCAGGCACAGGGCAGCUGAUGGGACAGACAGACCCUUGUGCCUUGCUCCUGCACUGACUUCUGCUUCCCCUUCAGUUUGAGACGAGGGUCAUUUAAAAUAAUACCGUCUACGACAUAAGACCUUUGGCAACUUGUUCCUUCUUCAAAGUAGUUUAGUAUUGAGGCAACUCUAUAGCUGGGGAGGAAUUUUCUGUCUUUCACGUAACUCCUUAAAAUCAGGUGUUCCAGGGCAUAUCUUAUGUACAUUUACUAGAGCGUUGUAUGCAAUUCAUUGUUGUGGUUUAGGAGAAGGCAGUAUGUGUAUUGUGCACAGCACAUGUAAGUGACUAUUGAAAUGAUACUGCAAGUCACAAAUAUACUCCCGAUUUCAUUACCCACACAUUUCCCACUUCUUCACACACAGAACUAUAAUAAGCAGGGCUGGUUUAGGAGACUCUUUGGGAUUUUAGCACAGCAAGUGGUCCCUAGUGGAGCUGGGAAGUGAAGGAAACUGUACCAGCUGGGAGCCAAAUAGCAGUAAUGCAGAACCUAUGGGGAGAUGAUGCAGCUCAUGAAGGGUUAUAAUACCAUAGGUUACUGUAAUUAUUAAAGAAACAGGAAACACAUAAUAAACUCCCCCCUUAUAAGCACUUCAUAUAAGAGAGAUGCAAAAUGGUAGAGUUGAAAGGGAGAUAAGACUGUUCACAAUCUGCACUCAAGCUGGAUGUGGGUUACUCCCUUUCAGGUGUGUGGUCUAAGCUUCAGGUGAUGGGAGUGGUUCUAUGUUUUUUGAAGUUUUAUUUUUUUUUCUUUUUUCAUCUUCCUCCCGGCAUAUCGCUCUGCUUUCCCAUGAGUGGUGUCACUAGCAAGAAAAUAACCAGAUGUCUCAGCCGGGCUGUUUCCAUUUUUCUACCACAGAAAGCAAGUUUACUCAUUCUGAAUCGUGCCAAACCGCAUAAUUUGGAAAGGAAUAUUGUGGCUCUACUUGGAAAGUACUAAUUGGGCUUCAGCCAUCACUGGGAAAGCUGUAUAGUCUUUUAUUAUUUUAACUGGCCAAAUGCCCUUUGUUACCACAUUAACAGUCUCCCUAUGGUGCCUGUAACUUUGAUAUUAUUUUCACUUUCAUGCUAAAUUUGACCAGAUGAAAGACAAAAACACUCCAAUUUUGAAAUAAAAAAAUAGCAUGUUUUGUUAAUCCUGUAUUUCAGAGGGAAAGUCUGUGAAAAUGAUAACCUUUGUGUGUUGGCCAAAGCUUUUUUCAGUAAACCCAUCCUGCCAGCUGUUCCCAUUGGCAAGAGGAAAGAUAAUAUUUUGGUAUCUUUUAUUUCUCCAUUUUAGAGCACAAGUUUUGCUUGUGCCAUUGUUUAAAUCAUGCAUGUUAACAUUGGUCUGGCAAACAAUAACGCACUUUAUAAAAAGACCUCAGUUUGAAUGGUAUCACUGCAAUGUUGCAAUAAAGCUGAUUUUGACUAUUA